rnacentral:tRNA from 1 species
GGGGAUGUAGUUCAGUUGGUAGAGUGCUUGCCUAGAAAGCAUGAAGCCCUGGGUUCCACCCCAGCACCA